GGAAAUAGCUCAGUGGUAGAGCGUAAGCUUAGCAUGCACACGGUCCUGGGUUCAUUCCCCUGUACUUCCA
rnacentral:tRNA from 1 species